rnacentral:lncRNA from 1 species
CAGGCCAGAACUUUGAGUGUCAUUGCCAUUAUGACCAUCACAAGCCACCUAAUUGAAUGACUAACAAAAUUUUGGUUCCCUUUUUUCUUUUCUAAGUGAGAAGGUCUUCUGACAAUAAGAAUGUGCAAGUUGGUGGCUUGUGAAAGGACACUCCCAGAUUAGUAUCAUCCCUGGUAUCAACUUUGCAAACUACAUACCCUAAAGAGCAUGCAAAAAAGAAGGCAACCAACUCCCAUCUUAAAUCUUCUACUUUUCAGGGACUCUCCCAAGGUUGUUGAGUUGCCAUCCAAGGAAGUUAAAUAGGUAGGUACUGGACAUAGAUGAAGCUGAUGGAGAGACCUGUUCUUUUGGAAGACCAGCUCCAACUGCUUGCAGAAAGAUUUUUCUUCUUGACCUGUAUCAGAGUAGGAACGUUUAGAUUCUUUUGCUAUUGUGUAGAAAGAGUUGACAAGAAAAUUUAUAAAGUGAUAUGACACGGUUUAUUCACCUUAAGACAAUGCGGGGCCAUUAAAGCUGUCUUGCAGUCUGCAUUUAAUGCUGCAAGAAUAUUGUCCUGAAAGCUCAAAGUAUUUAAACUUCAUUGUUUUGGCUCAGUUCACCCACAGGAGUUACACUGGAAGAAAGAGAAGAAUGAGAAAGGCUUCCUGUUGUCCUAAGGAAGGUCUGAACAGGGGAGCUUGGACAAGCGAAGAAGACAAGCUUCUCUCAGACUACAUCUUGGCCCAUGGCCUUGGGAGAUGGAGAAGCCUGCCUGCCAAUGCCGGUAAGAGUAUUUGAUUCUGCAAUUCUAAGCCCAACAAUUUAAUAACAGCUGUGAGUGAGAAGCACAAAAUGGAGAUACUAUUUCCAUGAAGCAUGUCCAUGCAUGUUACAUGUAGGAUUUGGAUGACAAAUCUUAGUUUCAGAUUACAGAGAAAAAUAAGAGUAACAGAUACUGAAGCAGAUCUUUGAAGCUUCAGAUUAUGUCUUGUGUCCCUUUUACACUCAUCCAAUCUCUUGGAAACCUCAUGCAAACUAUCAGUCUUCCCAAUCCAGCAACCUAAAGCAGUCAAUGCUAAAAACUGUAAUUUCUUUUCUUUCACAUAUUUGCUGGAAAUUUUUUGUAUGCCACAAUCAAUUAACAGAGACUAGUCUGGAUCAACCUGAAGCAUUGUUUAAUAUUCAUGUUAAAGUUUCCAAAAUUGAGAAAUGUGUUUAAUGACAUGCUAGUACAUAUGGAAUAAUUUCUGACCAUCUCCAAUUUUCCCUAAGUUGCUGGAAUUGAGAAGGCAACCUCACAUUUGCCAAGACACAUAGUAAAUCUAAGAGCAAAUUUCAAAAAUUAUUUGACUCAAUCAAGGACAACCGUAUUGGUGUUAAAAGAUAAUGCCAGUGACAACACUGGUUUGAUAUUGCAGGAUUGAAUAGAUGUGGUAAGAGUUGCAGGUUGAGGUGGCUGAAUUAUCUUAGACCUGAUAUCAAGAAGGGGAAUAUCACCCAGGAAGAGGAGGACCUUAUCAUCAGGCUUCAUAAUCUACUUGGAAAUAGGUAAAAUUAAGGUCUCAAUGCUUUCUUCUUCUUACAAGGGUAGAAAGAAUACAAAUCACAAGCACAUAAUUUGGGUUGCACAUAAUGUUAUCACACUGCUUAGCAUAUAUUUAGCAGGACAGAAAAUGUUGACACUUGAGUGCAAAGGAAAAUUUUGGAGAAUAUAUGAACAAAUUUAGUGAAGUAGCAAAAUGGUCAAAUAUAAUGACAAGGAGAUGAGUGUUAUCGAUGUAAAGCAAUAAACAUCAAAAAAGCCAAAAUCCCAAUUUAUCAUUUCUAUAUCAGCCAUACAAAACCAGAAGUAUAGUAUGGCACAGCACACAAUUCAUAUGCAUAUUAUUGUAUUCUCUUAUAAAGUCCAGAAUCCAUUGAAUAUAGUGACACAGUGAGAAGCACAACUUGAGGUUUAAAAUAAGGUCACUAUAUAUUAAUUCAUAAUGUAAUCAUAAACAACGUAAGCUCCUAGGCCAGAGAAUACAUGCCAAAUGAUAGUGAUCCUCAAGCAGCAACAUUGAAAGGAAUUUUGUGAAAAGAAUUUCCACUGAAAUCAAUAAUUUAUUCAGUUUUAUAAGUCAACAAAUGCAUUAUAUUUUUCCUUCAAGCAGAUGGUCCUUGAUAGCAGGAAGAUUACCAGGGCGAACAGACAAUGAAAUAAAGAACUACUGGAAUACCUACCUCAGAAAAAAGGGCUUGCACAGCAGCCCAAGUCCUGCAUCAAAGAAUAGAGAAGUACAAACAGUUAAAGCAGUUGCAGAUAAACAAAAAGGUGUGGAAGUUAAUGUAAUAAGGACCAAGGCCAUACGAUGCACCAGAUCUCUUUUUGCUGAUGAAGUUCCUGCUAGUGGAAUGAAUAAUUCUGCAUAUUCUGUCCUACCAAGUGCUAUGUUUGAUUAUGACACCUCAGAUUUCAGUGGAAAUGACCCAGCACCUCAGGCUGCAAAAAG